rnacentral:rRNA from 1 species
CGACUAAGCGUACACGGUGGAUGCCCUGGCAGUCAGAGGCGAUGAAGGACGUGCUAAUCUGCGAAAAGCGUCGGUAAGGUGAUAUGAACCGUUAUAGCCGGCGAUGUCCGAAUGGGGAAACCCAGUGCAAUUCGUUGCACUAUCGUUAACUGAAUACAUAGGUUAACGAGGCGAACCGGGGGAACUGAAACAUCUAAGUACCCCGAGGAAAAGAAAUCAACC